rnacentral:rRNA from 1 species
UACGGAGGAUGCGAGCGUUAUCCGGAUUUAUUGGGUUUAAAGGGUGCGUAGGCGGGCUUUUAAGUUAGCGGUAAAAAUUCGGGGCUCAACCCCGUCCGGCCGUUGAAACUGGGGGCCUUGAGUGGGCGAGAAGAAGGCGGAAUGCGUGGUGUAGCGGUGAAAUGCAUAGAUAUCACGCAGAACCCCGAUUGCGAAGGCAGCCUUCCGGCGCCCUACUGACGCUGAGGCACGAAAGUGCGGGGAUCGAACAGG